CCUAGGGGGGCAGCAGUGGGGAAUAUUGGGCAAUGGAGGAAACUCUGACCCAGCAACGCCGCGUGAAUGAUGAAGGUCUUCGGAUUGUAAAGUUCUUUUCUAAGGGAAGAAGAAAGUGACGGUACCUUAGGAAUAAGCCUCGGCUAACUACGUGCCAGCAGCCGCGGUAAUACGUAGGAGGCGAGCGUUAUCCGGAAUGACUGGGCAUAAAGGGUGCGCAGGCGGCGAGUUAAGUCAGCGGUAAAAUUUCGGGGCUCAACCCCGACAAGCCGUUGAAACUGGCUUGCUAGAGUGGGCGAGAAGUAUGCGGAAUGCGUGGUGUAGCGGUGAAAUGCAUAGAUAUCACGCAGAACUCCGAUUGCGAAGGCAGCAUACCGGCGCCCAACUGACGCUCAGGCACGAAAGCGUGGGUAUCGAACAGGAUUAGAUACCCCGGUAGUC
rnacentral:rRNA from 1 species